UAUAUUGAUUUAUUCGGUUGAGUACCGGGACGAAUUAGAAUAAAUCUGCUUUAUCAUUGAUAUGUAAAUGAGACACGGUAGAGUGGUUAAGGGCGCGUAAUUUGAAUAGGGAGUGGCACAGGAAUGUGUGCGUGGUUGGAUUGAAGGUAGAUCACUUCACGCUUGCGAGCAGCAACGACAACACACAAUUUUUGUGGCGCUGUACUUCCAUUGCGUUAUAUCAGCAAAUGGGAGAGUUGGCAGUUUUGCUCUCCUAAAGUCAAUUCGACAUCUCAUUUUAAGAAGCUACAUUACAUUCAAGGCUACUGACAACAGAGCUCGCCCCUACAUCGGUAUCAAUCAAGACAAGACAGUUGUUAAUAGCAGAUGGACCGAAGAUCGGAAAGCAGAAAGCAGAAAGCCAGUUUACGAAGCUAAGUUAAAUUACAGUCUUUUUAAUUUGCAAAAAUGUAGUUGCAGAUGUUGAAAUUCACAGAUGAUUUUUUUGAGAACGGAGAGAUUUCUGGUUCCGAACGAAGAGUGUUCUGGAGAAUUACUUUCCCAUCGUGAAUUGUGGGGACUUUUACACUAGUUCUUUGUUAUAAGAUGUAACCAGUCUCAGAAAAUGGUCAAUUUCAGAAAACCCACACUCUACUUGUUGAGACGAAAUAUAGGCCCUAGAUUGAAUCGAUGUUCUGCCAUAUACAAUUUGUUGGAAACCCAUAAUAAAGCCGUUUAUCAUUAAUCCUUUGUAAGUUUCAAUUCAGUGACAACAGGUGAAUGUCGUCCGAAAAGGGAGUAGAUAGCCCUGGCAUCAAUCAGUCAAAUUUGGUGAUACGCCCAUAUUUCUUUGUUCCUUGACAACGUAUUGAUUCACGUUGAAGUUUGAUCUGAAAAUCUUAAAUAUCACCUUGUGAGCGUUUGACCAAUCGGGUUUUCCUGGGUUUCACAGAAUUUUUUUUUUCCAAUUUGUUCCAAUUCCUACCAUCAUAUGUGUCUUUAAAUUGUACCAAAAUAGUACGAUCGCUGGAAAAGGGGCAAUUGCAAGAACAAGGAGAGUUGUCUUAGAAGACAGUUUGGGACACUCCAGUUUCCUUCAGAAAGCCAUAGAAUAGAGAGCACAGUGCUCAAACCAAAAGUGGUUGGUUCUAAAAUGCUCAAAACGGGGUUGAAGUGGUGAAGAAGUUGGUUCAGAAGCUCAUCUUCAACAGCGAUAAUUGGAGGCAGCGGAGUCCUCAAUCAGCCAAAAGUCAAGAGCUGGAUAUAGUCUCGCCAGUCAACUGCUUUCCAUGCUACUCGAGUCACAAGCCCCAUCAACAGUCUCGAGUACAGAUCAUCCUUCACGAGAUGGCGACAAUGGGCAGAGUUGCACGGAAUAUCAUACCUACCCGCAGAUCCUUACAUGGUAGCCUUAUACCUGAUCCAUAUUGGAACUCUGCAACAUCACCAUGCACCUACAGUCACAAACUCUUUAGCUGUCAUGUCAUGGGUUCAUCUCAUGGCUAGUUGGGGACCAUGAUACAACCAAAGACCCUCUGGUGUCAUACACCGCGCUAAAGGUCUGACAAGAACACUGGUUAAGCCAAAGAAAGAUCCAAUUACACCAGAUAUUCUUUCUGAGAUAGUGCCAAAAUAGGGUAAAGACCGUUCAGUACACAUCUUAUUUCAUAUAAGAAUCCUGGUCAAGGCCCUUAUUUCAUAUACCGGGUCUUAUCGGCUCAGUGAGUUAGCCGUACUUUAAUUGAAGUAUUUACGUGUUAUCUCAUGCACUCGGCCAUGUGAAUUCAGUUAUUAUUGCGAGGUAAUUAUUAUCAACAUGUACAGUUACAAUGUUGGAAUUGUAUGUCAAGUGGGUCAAAGUCUUCCCUUCAGAUAAAGACCUUCUUUUGUGUUCAUAAACUUAAACAAAUGUUAAAGAAGAGUAUAAAGUGAUUUCAUAGAGGUAUAAACCGAUGAAGUACUCGAGAGUUUGAGAGGGAAGGUUAGAGUUUUCACAGAGCAGCCCCAUGCUGCUGUUGGAGUCUUAGUGGCUAUCAAAGCAGAUAUCCAACAGGCUGUUCAAGCGUCAUGGACGCCAUAUCAGAGACAGAGAAGGAUACUUUAAUAUAUCCAAGAGAGUGAUUGCAAUAUGAUGUUAAAUAUCUAAAUCCUUUUGGGGAUUCAGCAUUAUAGAC
rnacentral:lncRNA from 1 species